UGAUCUGAGAGGAUGAUCAGCCACAUUGGGACUGAGACACGCCCCAAACUCCUACGGGAGGCAGCAGUAGGGAAUAUUGCACAAUGGAGGAAACUCUGAUGCAGCGAUGCCGCGUGAGUGAAGAAGGCCCUUGGGUUGUAAAGCUCUUUCGUCGGGGAAGAAAAUGACUGUACCCGAAUAAGAAGGUCCGGCUAACUUCGUGCCAGCAGCCGCGGUAAUACGAAGGGACCUAGCGUAGUUCGGAAUUACUGGGCUUAAAGAGUUCGUAGGUGGUUAAAAAAGUUGGUUGUGAAAUCCCGGAGCUUAACUCCGGAACUGCAAUCAAAACUUUUUAGCUAGAGUAUGAUAGAGGAAAGCAGAAUUUCUAGUGUAGAGGUGAAAUUCGUAGAUAUUAGAAAGAAUACCAAUUGCGAAGGCAGCUUUCUGGAUCAUUACUGACACUGAGGAACGAAAGCAUGGGUAGCGAAGAGGAUUAGAUACCCUCGUAGUCCAUGCCGUAAACGAUGUGUGUUAGACGUUGGAAAUUAAUUUUUAGUGUCGCAGCGAAAGCAAUAAACACACCGCCUGGGGAGUACGACCGCAAGGUUAAAACUCAAAUGAAUUGACGGGGACCCGCACAAGUAGUGGAGCAUGUGGUUUAAUUCGAAGAUACGCGCAGAACCUUACCAACACUUGACAUGUUCGUCGCGACUCUAAGAGAUUAGAGUUUUCGGUUCGGCCGGACGAAACACAGGUGCUGCAUGGCUGUCGUCAGCUCGUGUCGUGAGAUGUUGGGUUAAGUCCCGCAACGAGCGCAACCCUCACUUUUAGUUGCCAUCAUUUAGUUGGGCACUCUGAAAGAACUGCCAGUGAUAAGCUGGAGGAAGGUGGGGAUGACGUCAAGUCCUCAUGGCCCUUACGUGUUGGGCUACACAC
rnacentral:rRNA from 1 species